UUAGAGUUUGAUCCUGGCUCAGAGCGAACGCUGGCGGCAGGCCUAACACAUGCAAGUCGAACGCCCGUAGCAAUACGGGAGUGGCAGACGGGUGAGUAACGCGUGGGAACGUGCCCUUCGGUUCGGAAUAACCCAGGGAAACUUGGGCUAAUACCGGAUACGUCCGCAAGGAGAAAGAUUUAUCGCCGAAGGAUCGGCCCGCGUCCGAUUAGCUAGUUGGUGAGGUAACGGCUCACCAAGGCGACGAUCGGUAGCUGGUCUGAGAGGAUGAUCAGCCACACUGGGACUGAGACACGGCCCAGACUCCUACGGGAGGCAGCAGUGGGGAAUAUUGGACAAUGGGCGCAAGCCUGAUCCAGCCAUGCCGCGUGGGUGAUGAAGGCCCUAGGGUUGUAAAGCCCUUUCGGCGGGGAAGAUAAUGACGGUACCCGCAGAAGAAGCCCCGGCUAACUUCGUGCCAGCAGCCGCGGUAAUACGAAGGGGGCUAGCGUUGCUCGGAAUCACUGGGCGUAAAGCGCACGUAGGCGGCUUCUUAAGUCA
rnacentral:rRNA from 1 species